rnacentral:rRNA from 1 species
UACGGAGGGUGCAAGCGUUAUCCGGAUUCACUGGGUUUAAAGGGUGCGUAGGCGGGCAGGUAAGUCAGUAGUGAAAUCUCCGGGCUUAACCCGGAAACUGCCGUUGAUACUAUCUGUCUUGAAUAUCGUGGAGGUAAGCGGAAUAUGUCAUGUAGCGGUGAAAUGCUUAGAUAUGACAUAGAACACCCACUGCGAAGGCAGCUUACUACACGAUCAUUGACGCUGAGGCGCGACAGCGUGGGGAGCAAACAGG